UACGUAGGGGGCAAGCGUUGUCCGGAUUUAUUGGGCGUAAAGAGCGUGUAGGCGGCUAGAUAGGUCCGUUGUGAAAACUCGAGGCUCAACCUCGAGACGUCGAUGGAAACCAUCUGGCUAGAGUCCGGAAGAGGAGAGUGGAAUUCCUGGUGUAGCGGUGAAAUGCGCAGAUAUCAGGAGGAACACCAAUUGCGAAGGCAGCUCGCUGGGACGUUACUGACGCUGAGACGCGAAAGCGUGGGGAGCAAACAGG
rnacentral:rRNA from 1 species